rnacentral:lncRNA from 1 species
GGUAACUUCUUAGACCAAGUCUAGAAACAGUUUGAGGACAAUAACAAUUCCAUUCUAAGAAGAAUCUCCCAACAUUUCUUCUAUCUCAACCUCAACUGCAUCUGCCUGUGAACUUCCAGCUUACCAAGGCUCUAUAUCUUCUGGCAGUGACAAAGGCUCUUUCCAUAUGUAUUCAAUUCCUACCACCGUAGUGGAAGAGAGGCUAUCCCUAUCUUUACAACUGAUAGCAUUUCCAACAGUAAGCUGUGAGAUUCUGCUUGAAAUCACCUCUCAAACAAAUAAAAAACAGACCUGGGAGACACGCUACACUCAUUCUGCUGAAGAAAUAGGGCAAGAAUAUUUUCUAAGACCCCGAACUCCAGAUAUGUGAUGGGGCA